AAAUAAGAAGCAAACUGCAAUUAGUUUCGACCUAAUACUUGGUAAUAAUAUCAUUACCCUUAUUUA
rnacentral:tRNA from 1 species